rnacentral:rRNA from 1 species
GAUGAACGCUGGCGGCGUGCCUAAUACAUGCAAGUCGAGCGAACAGACGAGGAGCUUGCUCCUUCGACGUUAGCGGCGGACGGGUGAGUAACACGUAGGUAACCUACCUAUAAGACUGGGAUAACUUCGGGAAACCGGAGCUAAUACCGGAUAAUAUUUCGAACCGCAUGGUUCGAUAGUGAAUGAUGGCUUUGCUAUCACUUAUAGAUGGACCUGCGCCGUAUUAGCUAGUUGGUAAGGUAACGGCUUACCAAGGCAACGAUACGUAGCCGACCUGAGAGGGUGAUCGGCCACACUGGAACUGAGACACGGUCCAGACUCCCACGGGAGGCAGCAGUAGGGAAUCUUCCGCAAUGGGCGAAAGCCUGACGGAGCAACGCCGCGUGAGUGAUGAAGGUCUUCGGAUCGUAAGACUCUGUUAUUAGGGAAGAACAAACGUGUAAGUAACUGUGCACGUCUUGACGGUACCUAAUCAGAAAGCCACGGCUAACUACGUG